GCAAAUACACUCCAACCAUCUGUUACCUAACAGUUAUGCCUCGGCCUAAGCUCGGUUGGAGGCACCUGCAGCUACCCUGUAGUUGCGGACUGCCAACUCCAGCCGCGGCCCGCCGGCGGUACACUAAACUCUGUUUUAUUUUAUAUUCUGAGCGUCUUAUUUUAAUAAGUUAAAACUUUCAACAACGGAUCUCUUGGUUCUGGCAUCGAUGAAGAACGCAGCGAAAUGCGAUAAGUAAUGUGAAUUGCAGAAUUCAGUGAAUCAUCGAAUCUUUGAACGCACAUUGCGCCCAUCAGUAUUCUGGUGGGCAUGCCUGUUCGAGCGUCAUUUCAACCCUUAAGCCUAGCUUAGUGUUGGGAAUCUGCUGUACUGCAGUUCCUUAAAGACAGUGGCGGAGCGGCGGUAGUCCUCUGAGCGUAGUAAUUUAUUUCUCGCUUUUGUCAGGCUCUGUCCUCCCGCCAUAAAACCCCCAAUUUUUUAGUGGUUGACCUCGGAUCAGGUAGGAAUACCCGCUGAACUUAAGCAUAUCAAUAAGCGGAGGA
rnacentral:rRNA from 1 species